rnacentral:lncRNA from 1 species
UAGUUUUAGAAUUUAGGUUGUUUGUUUUUUUUACUUUUUCAUGACUUAUUAUAAACUUUUUACUAAAUAGAAAAAGCCAAAAUAUGUGGCUUUUUCUAAAUAGAAAAAAUAACACAAUGAUUUUUUUUUACUUUUUAAUACUUAAUAGAAAUAAAAUACUAUAAAAACAAACAACCUAAUAUUUAAUACUAUUAAGUAUUAAGGUUCUAUUUAGAAUUAAGUAAAAAAA